UUUUUUCCUUUUCUUUGUGUGGUUCGUGGUUGUAUUCUCUGUAAUCCUGGCCGGUUGAUGGCUUUGUUAAUUCAAAGCCGGGCUCUCCUUGAGCCUUCGUUCCAAAAGACCAAACUAUUUUGCUCCCUGGGUUCCAUGAGAGAUAAGAUUUUCUUGUAUUGACUCGUAGCCCAAGGGGCAUAUUAUAAUACAUGAGGAAACACACAACAUCCGGGUAUCACCCUCAUACACAUGGAUGCUACCAUCACUACCUCUAACACCAUGGAGCAACGAUUUAAACACCUUGAUAUAGGGCUCCAUUCCUAAGCAGCUCAUGAAUAUCAGAAAAGUUGUUGUUAAGUAUAUAUGUUGUGUUUGUCUUGUACAGGCCCAGGCCCAUAGUCUAGAGUGAGGCCCAGGCCCAUGUAACCUUGUAUAUCUCUCUCCUCAAUACAGAAAACUGUUUGGUCAUUCUCUCUUCCUCACAUUUCCUACCAUGAUAUCAGACCAGGACCAAACCCUAGUCCCUCUUCUAGCCGCCACCCAUGAAAUCGCCGCCGGUGAGGUGAUUCAGGCGGAUCUGUCUGGUGAGGAGACAUCCACAUCGCUGCCCCAUCCCAUCUUCGUCAUCAACCUGUAGGAGCUGCUCUCCAGCAGCUCCUCUGUGUUUCCUCACAGCUACUCUGUGAGAAUACUUCCCCUGCUCUCCAGCAGCCAUCUCCAGCAAGCUCUUGGUGCCUUCCCUGCUCUACAGCAAGCUCCAGGCGUUCCCCCUUCUAUCCAGCAAGAUCCAGCAAGCUCCUCCUAUCCAGUGAGAUCCAGCUCCUGUUUGUGGCUGUCUGCUGCUCUUCUCUUGUUGCUGCCUGCAGCUGCUAUCAGAUUGGGUGUUUCCAGCUGCUGGCCACUCACCACUAUGGCAAGAAAUGAUUUCGGAUUUGGUUCUGUGAUCAUAGAUAUCAAGCUUGAUGGUUCAAACUACAGGGAAUAGGCAUUUUCUACCCGAACUGUCUUGAGGAUGGCUGGUUUUGUUUCUCAUCUGACAGAUGAUCCACCUAGUCCAAAUGAUGAUGCAGCAAGGAAGUAUUGGCAAAAGAUCGAUGAUCGUGUGAUGGGAGUUUUAAUUCUGGGUGUUGAACCCUCACUCCGAAUGAGUCUUGAGCAUCACACUUCAGACCAGCAGUGCACUUCAUUUCUCGUUGUUGCAGAAUUUACACAACACUCGGUAGCCAGAAGACAUGUUCAUAGAAGAGUACUAUGGAGCUUUCCCUCGCAUCACUGGGCAGCUAGGUUCCAUGGUUCCAAAGGGUAAUUCUGGUUGUGAGUCAUGUGCAGCGAAGGAAAAGUAUGACCAUCAGACUCUCAUGUUUCAGUUUGUGAUGGGUCUCAAGCCAGACUUUGAGAACAUUCGCACUCAAUUGCUUGGUCGUACGACUCAUCCUACCUUGACAAAGGCACUUGCUAGCUUGAUCGCUGAGGAGACUCGUCUCCGUUCUCUUGGGGCUACUUCUGCGCAGACUCUACACACUAGUGUUCUGGCUUUUCCUCAGCAGCCAGGUGCCUCCAAGGCCACACCUUCAGCUGUCGUAUGCUCGUUCUGCAAGAAGGCAGGACACCACAGAGAUGGUUGUUUUAAGCUUCAUUCAGAGCUGUUAGCUGAGUUUCAGGCUAGACGGGCCCUCAAUCAGCAGCGUCGUGCACCCCAGGCUCCUUAUCAGCAGCAAGUGAGGGGUGCUUCUGCAUCUGUUCUCUCUCAGCCCGCUGUUGCUGCAACCCAGCCUUGGGUUCUGGACUCUGGGGCUUCUUUCCAUGUGACCUCUGAUCGCUCUCAGCUUGUGUCUUGCCAGCCAGUGCGGGAUGGUGCCUCUGUUUAGACUGCUGAUGGUACACCUUGUUCUAUUACUCAUCAGGGUUCUCUUCGCACAUCCAAGUUUUUUGUUCCUGCCAUCUCCUUUGCUCCAGAGUUGUCCAUGAAUCUUAUGUCUGUUGGCCAGCUUGCUGAUAUGAACUAUUUUGUUGGUUCUGAUGACUCAUUUUGUUAUGUGCAGGACCGUCAGAGCAAGAGGGUCAUUGGAACUAGCCAUCGCCGUAGAGGAUCCACAUCCCUCUACAUCCUUGACACCUUACACCUUCCUUCAGCUUCCACCACAUCCGCGUUCCGGAUGGCUGCAUCAACAUCAAGAUCCACUUCGCCGUUUUCUUUUGCCCAGUGGCACCAUCGCUUAGGUCACUUGUGUGAUUCUCGUUUAUCUACCCUUGUUCGACAAGGUGUUUUGGGUCAUGUUUCCAUAGAUGCUGGUUUUCACCGUAAGGGUUGUAAGCUAGGGAAACAAAUACAGCUUCCAUACUCUUCCAGCACUACUCAUUCUAGUCAUCCUUUUGAUUUAGUGCACUCUGAUGUAUGGGGUCCUUCCCCCUUUGUUUCGAAAGGUGGCCACAAACAUUAUGUCAUAUUUGUUGAUGAUCACUCUCGACAUACUUGGGUCUAUUUUAUGAAGCAUCGUUCUGAGUUGUUUUCUAUAUAUAAGGCUUUUGUACAUAUGGUCCAUACUCAGUUUUCCAGUGUUGUUCGUGUUUUUCGUUCUGACUCCGAGGGGAGUAUCUAUCUACUGCUUUUCGUGAGUUUCUCUCAUCUGAGGGUACUCUCCCUCAGCUUUCAUGCCCUGGUGCCCAUGCUCAGAAUGGCGUUGCUGAGCGUAAGCAUCGCCAUAUUGUUGAGACAGCAAAUACCCUUCUGAUUUCUUCCUUUGUCCCCACUCAUUUUUAGGGUGAAGCUAUCUCAACUACUGUUUAUCUAAUCAAUCUCCAACCUUCUACUCGCCUUGAGGGCAAGUGUCCUGGUGAGGUUUUGUCUGGUUCUCCUCCCACGUAUGACCACCUCCAUGUCUUUGGUUGUACUUGUUAUGUUCUUUUAGCACCUCGUGAGCGUACCAAGUUGACUGCUCAGUCUGCUCAAUGUGUCUUCCUUGGAUAUAGUCUUGAACAUAAGGGCUACCAUUGCAAUGAUUCUUCUGCUCACCGCAUUCACUUUUCUCGCGAUGUCACUUUUGUUGAGGAUCAACCCUUCUUCUAUUCCCCUUCCACUAACCCAUCAUCCUCAACUUCUUUAGAGUCUACCUCGUUUCUUUCACUUCCACCUAUCUUUUUAGACGAGUCCAUAGCUGAACAACCUUCCUCUGUCCUAACAUCAGAACCAUCUCCACCACAUGUUUCAUCUCCUUCCUCACCAGCUCCUUUCUCUUCCACUAGCUCCACCUCUAGAUAGUCUUCCUUUCCAUUACACUCGUCGUUAUUCUACUACUCCAGCCAGUACUUUCCAUUACACUCGUCGUUCUAAAGCUCCAUGUGACACGCAGUCAUCUAUGCCUUUGUCUUCUACUCCUCCAGCCAGUACUACUGAUCCUUGCACUAACGGCUCUUCUCUAGCAACGCGAUACAAAAAGGACUUGUAUGCAGGGGCUAUUUCUAAGCCUAGUACCUAUCAGGAGGCAGUUGUGUCACCUGAGUGGCAACUGGCUAUGUCUGAGGAGCUUGCAGCCUUAGAGAGUACUGGUACAUGGGAUUUGGUACCAUUACCUCCUAGUUCAAUCCCUAUCACUUACAAAUGGGUGUAUAAGGUUAAAACCAAGUCAAACGGUUAUGUGGAACGCUGCAAGGCUCGCCUUGUUGCAAGAGGUUUUCAGCAGUAUCAUGGGAAAGAUUAUGAUGAGACGUUCCCUCCUGUUGCUCACAUGACUUCAGUUCAAACUCCAAUUGUUGUGGCUGCUACUCAGUCAUGGAAAAUUUCCCACAUGGAUGUGAAGAAUGCCUUCCUUCAUGGUGAUUUACAUGAGGAAGUUUAUAUGCAGCCACCUCCAGGUAUCAAGGUUCCAUCAGGUCAUGUUUGCCGUCUUCAAAAGGCUCUUUAUGGGCUUAAGCAAGCCCCUCGUGCCUGGUUUGAGGGGUUCAGUUCUGUGAUUCAAGCUGCCGGUUUUUCUCCUAGUGAACAUGACCCUGCACUCUUCAUUCAUACAUCUGAGCAUGGUCGUACAUUGCUUCUACUUUAUGUAGAUGACAUGUUGAUCACUGGAGAUGUUGUUGGGUAUAUUGAUUUUGUUAAGAAAAAAAUGAGUGAACAAUUCAAGAUGUCAGAUUUGGGGUCUCUCAGCUAUUUUCUCGGGAUUGAGGUCGAGCACACCAAUGAUGGUUACUAUAUCUCCCAGCAAAAGUACACUCAGGAUUUGAUUCUUCGCUCAGGUCUCACUGACACACACAUUGCUGCUACACCUAUGGAGCUUCAUCUGCAGUUGCGUCCUACUGAUGACACUCCUCUUGAGGAUCCAUCUCGCUAUCGUCACAUUGUCGGCAGUCUAGUGUACCUCACAGUGACCAGACCUGACAUCGCACAUGCAGUCCAUAUUCUCAGUCAAUUUGUUUGUGCUCCUACCUCAGUUCAUCAUGGUCACCUAUUCCGAGUCCUUAGGUAUUUAAGGGGAACUACAUCUCGCCGCUUGUUCUAUGCUAAUUCCAGUCAGCUAGCUCCAGCUACAUGCUUACUCUGAUUCCACUUGGGCGAGUGAUCCUAUUGAUCGUCGCUCGGUCACUGGCUAUUGCAUAUUUCUUGGUACAUCUCUCAUUGCAUGGAAAUCAAAGAAGCAAACUGUUGUGUCUCGCUCCAGCGCCAAGGCAGAGCUUAGGGCUCUCUCUACUACUACAGCAGAGAUUGUAUGGCUUCGCUGGCUAUUGGAUGAUCUUGGUGUCUUAUGUCAUACACCAAUACCUCUUCUUUGUGACAGCACUGCUACUAUUCACAUUGCUAAUGAUCCAGUCAAGCAUGAGUUGACCAAACACAUUGGUGUGGAUGCCUUUUUCACUCGAUCUCAUUGUCAACAAUCCACUGUCAAGCUACAAUAUGUCCCAUCAGAGCUUCAAGUCGCAGAUUUCUUCACCAAGGCACAAACUAGAGAUCAGCAUAGGUUUCACACUCUCAAACUUGGUGUAUCAGAUGCUCCUGACCCACCUUAAGUUUGAAGGGGGGUGUUAAGUAUAUAUGUUGUGUUUGUCUUGUACAGGCCCAGGCCCAUAGUCUAGAGUGAGGCCCAGGCCUAUGUAACCUUGUAUAUCUCUCUCUCCUCCUCAAUACAGAAAACUGUUCAGUCAUUCUCUCUUCCUCGCGUUUCCUAAUAGUUGUCACCACCACCCUACAUGUAUAGGGCUCCAUUCCUAGGCAGCUCAUGAGUAUCAGAAAAGUUGUCACCACCACCCUACAGGGUACCUCCCCAACUGCACUAUACCCGCGUACAUAAAUGAAGAUGUAUAAACCAUGGAUAUAACUAAUAUUUGCUGUAUAAAGCAUAGCUCAUUUUAGGCCUUCUUUGGUUUACAGGAAUUUUAAAGGAUAGGAAUUUUGUAGGAAAGACACUUUGGAGCCCUUUGGUUUGUAGGAAUGGAUUCCUAUUACUAUGUAGGAUAGGAACCAAUUCUUCACAUUUCAAAGGACAAAAAACAUUAGCCUAGACUAAAUGGAAAAAUUCCUAUCCUAUGCAUCAAAUGACAUGUCUUUCCAUAUAGGAAUUGAGAUACAUGUCAUCUCACUUCCUAUGAUUUUCCUAUUCCUAUGAUAUUCCUAUCCAAUGAACCAAAGGAGACCUUAGGGUUGUGCUACAAUCUUGUGUGCAACUGUCCAUACUGACCAUCUGAUGAACAAAACAGAAUAAACUAAACAGAACGCAAGGUAUCGAUGAGGAUGUUAGCCACAUAAUCAAAGCGGUGUGGAUGAAGUGGCGGCAAGCAUCUGGCAUGCUCUUUGACAAGAAGGCCCCACAAAAGCUAAAAGGAAAGUUCUAUAGGAUGGCGAUCAGACCUGCAGUGCUAUAUGGAGCAGAGUGUUGGCCUACUAAGAGACAAUACAUCCAACAAAUGAGUGUCACUGAGAUGCGCAUGCUAAGGUGGAUGUGUGACCAUACAAUAAAGGACCGAAUCAGGAACGAGGGAAUAGGCAAUAAGGUAGGGACGGCACCAAUUGAAGAGAAGAUUGUCAAACACCGAGUAAGGUGGUUUGGACAUAUCCAAUGGAGGCCUGCAGAAACACCAGUGAAUAGCGGUAUUCUAAAACGUAGCAAAAAUGCUAGGAGGGUAUGGGGCAACCGAAGUUGACAUGGGAGGAGGCUGUAAAGAGAGACUUUAAGGUUUAGAAUGUACUCAACGUUCUUAUAUUAUGGGACGGAGGGAGUACCUAGGAAUUUGGCUCUUGACAGGACUGUAGUCAGCAAUCCAUGUACCAGAACCUUAGUUUACUUUCCUUCACUUUGUUUACUUGUAUUUUCUCCCUUCUCUUUUAGGUUCUCACAGGUUUCUGUUGGAUUUCAUCUCUAGCCUACCCCAACUUGCUUGGGACAGAAGGCUUCAUUGUUAGAAUGCAAGGAUGGCUCUAUACUGGCAAAGUGGCAACCCAUUCCCACGACAUUCACUAUGGGGGCAGGGAUGGAACUACAGGAGGAAAGUUGCACUCGGUAGCUACGGAUGGCAAUUGGAAAGUCACCCGUCAUGGGGACUAACCUAGUAACCAACAUUAACUUAUACAGAAGUCAGCUGCAUAAUUGAGUCAUAUGACAUUAUUAGGUAAGAAAUGAUUCAAGUAAAUAUAAAUAAGAAGAUACCUUGCUACAUCAUUCGAGGAGCUUAAAUUUUUUACCACACUGGCCAGUAAGCUUUCACGGUGGUUAAAGUGUGGGGCAGCAUCUAAUAAACUACACAAGCAACGAACUGCCACAAGAUAAAAAUAGGGUUGCUUCUCCAAUGAUAUCAAUUUCUGCAGGUAUGCCUGGAAGUGCACAGAAAGGAAACAGAAAACGAAUUUCAGCAAUCAAAAAACAUCUAGAAAUAUCUUGACCAUCAAAUGGAAGGUGCAGCAAAUAAAUAUUUGUAUGAAGAAAGCCAAAGCAAGUGAUGAGCCACUGGAAAAUUGUUCAUGAUCACAUAAUUCAUAACCAAAUGACUUCUUGUCACAAAGUAUUUAGGGUAUGAAGCAGAAUUCAGAAUAAAACCUUGUAGGAACGAAUAAGCGUGUACUCAUAAUAUCUCGUCUUCUUCACUUCUUUCGAAACUUCUACGGCAAGCUCUUUUUCUGUCAGCUGCCUAAUCCGAUAACUGCAGAAGAAGAUCAAAGCACAUAUAAUAUAAGUCACCUGGGAAACACUGUAGCAGUGGCUAUAGUAAAAAUGAACUGUCAUGUCAUGUACCUAGGAAUUAUGUCCCUGAACACAGCAAGCAAGGACAUUAUAGCAAGUUUAACAACCCUUUGGUCUGUGUCGUUGCAUAUAAUUAAUAAAUCAUUCAGAGAUCUAAUGUUUGAUUCAGGAUCUUCAAGCAUGGCCAUGCCUAAUUCAGCAAGCUGGGCCUUCUUUUUCUCAAACAAUUCAUCAGCUGAAAGUUCUUCCUUCACCUCUUCCUGCCAAUCAGAGUAUACAGGAAAAAUCACUGUUUGCAUAGUAAAAAUAUAUAGCAGUUCUGUAUAAGAUACAAAAGGUUUCAAUUAUGAACAAAUGAGCUGGAUUCUAUCGCUGUAAAUGACCUGACAUUUGAUAAACAGUUUUAUAACUUGUCUGUUUGCUUUCAUUGACACUUUUCAGGUAUAUACAAGCUCUACAACAGAUAUCCAUAUUUUCAUCUAUAAUUCAUGCUGAAUUGCUGAUGAUGCAUUAACUCAUUUUGAUUUUGCUCAAAAUUUCUCACUUACCACAUUCUAGCAUUCAGCUUUGUAUGUUAAAAUUAGAACAGCUACAGGCCAUGACACUUAAUUUAGCUAUCCUGCAAUAUGUUGACAAUGUCUAAGAUACUUCGAUAUUUGCAGUCAAACAUGGCUAGGUAAUUUGCAUUCACGGUAUUAAGCAGUAUGAGUUUUUAUUUUUAAGCUUUUGCAAAAAGAGAUCAUUUGAAAAAUGUGCUUCAGACUAAUGCAAAAAGAAGAACAGAAGUAGUACCAACACUACUGAGUGCAGUUUCUCCUUCGGAAUUUCAAGUGGACGCUGCACAUUCUGCAAUUUACUAUCUUCCUUUUUGUUGGAUCUUCCCUUACAUUCCUUUUGAGAACUUUGCUUGGCAUCAGCAUCUUUGUCAUCAGAUUUGGAUUCAGCACCCUUAGCUUUGUCUUCAGACCUUGCUCUCUUGGCUGCAUGUCAUGACAUAAAUGUUACAUGAGUAGGGUAACACUAACAACAAUUCAUAAUCACAAACUUACUUAAACUCAUAUCGUAACACAUGCUACACUUCUAGAAAACUUCUUUAUGCUUUUGACUUAUUUCGGUUCCGUUAUGUUGCAGAAUUUUUUAAUGUUUUUUACUUGUUUUCUGUCUAAUUGGACAAGGUUUUAUCAUGAUCUUUUAGUUCUGAUGGAACAUAGUAGUUACAGGGGCAUCAUAAAAUCAGUAAUUCCAGUAUCAAAAAGAUUCAUGCGUGUCAUUCAUUUUAACAAGAGAAAAUAUGGAGACAAAUAAAUGACCACAAUAGUAUCGACUCAUGUGAUUCUGAAUUACUGCCAGCCCUUCCCCUGAUUAAUGUAAGUUGCAUGUAGAACUUUAAGUCAUGCCUGUCCAUUUGGAUCAGCAACAGUGUCCUGUAUGCUUGCUCUGCAAAUGGCAAUACGGCAACACGGAAUGACCGCUCUAGAGCGCAUGUCAUUAUUCUGGGAUCAAAAGGGCACACCAGGCUCUGUAAAUGGAGCCAGAUAAGCUUGGCACAACUUAGAUUGCGAGUACACAGCAACUUUACUUAGUUUAAGCAAUGUCUAAAACGAUCUUGUUAAGUCAUGGACCAACAACAAUAGGAUAAGUUGUAAGACUUUAUUAAAUUCAUGGACCGAGAACAAUGGAAGCCAUUGGUGGUACAUUUCCUAGGGGUUUUUUCUUCGUCCGCAUGUAUUGGGUGUGUUUGCCAAGUGUCUGCGGUAGUCUGUUCCUACUGACUGCAACAAACAAACUUAGUAGAAACUCAGAGCCAAAAUGAUUUCAUUUGCUAAUAUAUCUAUAGCAUUUGAUAUGCGGUUCUCCAAAGCCUUGUGCAACUAGCAAGUGCUCCUAUACCAUAUUCACUAGACUAACUCAACCGGCUCUGCUGAACCAAAUAUAACUGGGCAUGCAUGAUUUUACCGGUUCUGUAGAGCAGCUCCCCCUGCAGAGUCUUGACAGGGAGCGCGUCAACGGGAUCCACCUCGAGGUCAUCGUCGUCCUUGGGUUUCAGGGCUAGGGCAGCCCUCCUCUUGCGCUCGCGCUCCUCGUAGAGGAGCUCGACCUUGUCCUCGUCGUGGUCGGGGACCCUGGUGACGACUUUGUCGAGGGCCUUCCUGUUGAGCCCGGUGAUCAGGUGGACGUGCUCUCUAUUCUCCUCGACGAAAUCCACAUCCUCGUCGGAGACUAUGAUGUCCUCGUCGUCGACUUCCGGCGGCAGCGGCGGCGCGAGGAUGACCUUGUUCUUCUUGCUGCUCUUCCCCAUGGGAUACGACACAAAUCUGGAGUGGGUUGUGCUUCCCCGAAGCCGACGCUAACCUCACAAGUUUCACGGUCGCGGUAGGAGAGGGGGGUGGCCGGAGGUCCUUCCGAACGGCGAAACUUAGAUAGGCGGCGGCGGCGGCGAUGGAACGAAGGGUUUAUAUGACUUUCUCAUUUCCCUUCGAAAAACAGUGGCAUGGUUUAUUGCUGCUAGGUUUUGUGCGGGACCUUGGGCUUGGGCCAUAGAAGUUUGGUGGAGGCGUGGACAGAACCGCGCGCACCAGGCCCGAACAAGCCCACAUUCAUACUUUGUUUUUACGCGAAACUUAGGGGUCUUUGUACGAGAUUGUCGUGGGAGGAACAAAAAUUUAACACAGACACAUCUCACUCUGUGCAUUUGAAAAUCAAACCGAAAAAUCAUACCAAAAAUAAACCGAAACGAACAAAUUUUUUGGUUUUUAUGGUUUCUGGUUUCGGUAUGGUAUAAACUUUUCAUACCGAUUUGAACUUUGGUUUUUAUGGUAUAUACCGAAAAACCAAAUGCUUAACCGAAUAAACCAAAGUAAAAAAUAAUUUUAUAUUUCUUGUGAUGAACAACCAUGCAAGUUGUCAUUUUUCUUGUACAUGAGUCAAAUUCACUACUAAGCACCUUAUUUUUUCUUGUAACGUAGUCAUUUUUCUUUUUUUUUAAAUGCUAAGCACGUCCAUAACCAUCAACAGAUGAAUCAAUGCAUGCAUAUAUAUUUAUAUAUAGUUAUAUAUUGUAUUUGUGUAAAACAGUAUAUGUGUUUUGAGUCAUAAAUUUGCAAAUUAUUAUUACGUCAUUUUCAAAUUCGCGUCAACUUUGGUUAUUAUGGUAUAUACUGAAACCAUAUCGAAAUAAUUUGGUAUAUACCGAAACCGAACCGUAUUUUAAUUUCAUACCGUAUUUAUUGAAGUAUUAAUACCGUACAAACCGAACCAUGUAAACCGAAUAAACCGAACGCACACACAUCAAACAAAUUAAGCUACGGGAGAAUGGCGGCCAACCAGCAUGGCCACGUGGCGCAUGCUGGUUUGCCGUGGCAAAAAACAUUUUUAUAUUUUUUGGAAGAUGAAAUUGAAAAACUUCUUGAUUUUUUUGACAGAUGAAACUGAGACUUUUUUUGUUUUGAGAAAAGUUUUUUUAGAUUUUUUUUUAAGAUGGGAGUGAGACGUUUGUUUCUUUUUCAUUUUAAAAACGUUUUUAGGCUUUUCUUUUUCUUUUUGAGAUGGAUGUGAUGUUCACGUGUUGCGAGAAAGUUUUCUUUUUAAUUUUGAGAUGUAAUUGAGGUUUUUUCUUUGAGAAGGAGAAAUACAUGCCCAGCUUCCUUCCAAGAGGCCCGCAAUGACGGGCCCCAACCACUAGUCAUGUGUUAUUGUGUGUCGAAAAUGAAAGUGCCAUCACUUAUUCUUUGCUUGGGUGUUUGCUAAAAAACAUUUGGAAGCUCGUCUCUAGCGUACUUUGUUUUGAGAAAAGUUUUUUCAAGAUUAUUUCUUAAAGAUGACUUUUUGUUUCUUUUUCAUUGUAAGAACGUUUUUUAGGCUUUUUUGAGAUGGAUGUGAUGUUCACAUGUUGUGAUAAAUUUUUUUUGAUUUUAAAAUAAAAUUGAGGUUUUUUUUUUGAGAGGGAGAAAUACACGUACAACUUUCUCUUAAGAGGCCCGCAAUGGCAGACCCCAACCACUAGUAUCAAACACAAUAAGCUAUGCUACAAGGGCACUAUUUGAGCGUGUCCACGUGGCGAUUUACUGUGGCGAUAGAAAAAUAUCUAACUACAUAUCAUUUCCUUUUAGUAGAAGCUUGCUUUGAGUUGAUUGAUUGAUUCAUUUCCUUCCUAACGAAGGCAGCUCCGCACGUCUUCCUCUCCACCUCUCCCCCCCCCCACACGUACGCCGCCAGCCGCAGCCAUCGCCUCCUCUUCCUCCUCUUGUCUACCCAGCUAGGGCUGCUUCUACCGCCGCCGCCGCUGGCCCAUCACUCGUCUGGCGCUGCCCACCGAAGGAAGGCCCUCUUCUCCCUAGGGUCUUUGUAAUGCCCACGAUGCUGCUAUAGCUCCCACGUGUCGAGGCACGACUUAGAGACAUAACCGCAUAGUGGUUUUGUCGCAAGAAGGGUCAUCUUCACAAACAUCCCAUGUAUUGAAUAAGACAGGGAUAAAUAGAGUUGGCUUACACUCGUCACGUCACACAAUACAUAAAUAAUUCAUACAUCAUCCAAAAUACACUCAUAGACCGACUACGGUCAAAUCCGAAUAAAAGGAAGAUAAACCCCAAAUGUUAGAUCCCCGAUCGUCCCAACUGGGCUUCACUACUGAUCAUCGGGAAACGAAACAUAGUAACGACCAAGGUCCUCGUCGAACUCCCACUUGAGUUCGGUAGCAUCACCUGCACUGGAAUCAUCGGCACCUGCAACUGUUUGGAAGUAUCCGUGAGUCACGAGGACUCAGCAAUCUCACACCCACGAGAUCAAGACUAUUUAAGCUUAUGGGUUGGAUAAGGUAAUGAGAUGGAGCUGCAGCAAGCACUAAGCAAAUAUGGUGGCUAACAUACGCAAGUAAGAGUAAGAUGAGAAGCUACGCAACGGUCGUGAAGCUAGAAGUGAUCCUGAAACUACUUACGGUCAAACAUAACCCAAACCGUGUUCACUUCCCAGACUCCGCCGAAAAGAGACCAUCACAGCUACGCACACGGUUGAUUCAUUUUAAUUAAGUCAAGUGUCAAGUUCUCUACAGCCGGAUAUUAACAAAGUCUCAUCUGCCACAUAACCACGGGCACGGCUCCUGAAAGUUUAUACCCUGCAGGGGUGUCCCAACUUAGCCCAUCACAAGCUCUCAUGAUCAACGAAGGAUAUUCCUUCUCCCGAAAAGACCGGAUCAGUCUCGGAAUCCCGGUUACAAGAUAUUUCGACAAUGGUAAAACAAGACCAGCAAAGCCGCCCGAUUGUGCCGACAAAUCCCGAUAGGAGCUGCACAUAUCUCGUUCUUAGGGCACACCGGAUAGGUCAAGCUACGAAUAAAACCAACCCUCAAGUUUCCCUGAGGUGGCCCCGCAGGUUGCCCGGUUCGGACCAAUACUCAGAGGAGCACUGGCCCGGGGGGUUAAAAUAAAUAUUACUGAUGUAGGGUGGAACCCUAUACGACCGGUCUUUCACGAAAGGAGCGGAUCCCGCGAAGAACACGAAGAACACGAGGGAAAUCACAAGGGGAAACACAAGGGGAAACACGAGAGAAUCACUCAAACCAACAAGAUUAAGUCACACAUGUGCUAGAUCCUCAAAACACGAGAGGAGAUACAAGAUCCAAAGUCAACAAGGGAUGAUACAAAUGGUAACCGGUCUUCUUCGUGAGGAGGUCUUGAAUCCACAAGGGGAUCUUCCCGUAAAGGGGUCUUGAAUCCAAGGUGGAACUUCUCCAAAGAGGGGUCGCGGUCUCUCUCAAGGAGUAGAUACGAUAUGGAUGAGCGAAGCUCUAUCUCACAAAUGAGCUAACACAACGCUAACCCUCACUAGGAGGAGGUGGAGGAGUAUAUAU
rnacentral:lncRNA from 1 species